AAUAGGAUUGAAUUGUGAAAGCUCUACUCCAGGUUCACUGCAGAUAUUGGAAGUAAGACAGCAUUUAUAUACUUAGCUCUGUGGGUGCAUGCUAUCUUCAUGCCAAAAAGUUGCUAGAAUUAUCUGACAAAGGAAAGAACCUGUGUAGCUGUAUGUUUUGCUCAGGUGGUGGGCAGAAGUAUGCAACUGAAGCUGAAUUCUGUCUCUCUCCAUGUAUUUGUCCCUGUUUAUUUGGGGACAGGUGCAUUUUACUUUUAAAUUGCAUGUAGUAAAGUCUUAUCUUCUAAAUUAAAGAGAUAUGCCUGUCCAUGUGUUAGGCUACCAAUAAAUAAAUUGGUUGAGGGAAGGAAGUUGGAAGAGAGAAAAGUGGAAAGAAAGGAAGGAGGUAAGGAAGAGAAGGAAUGAGGGAAGGAAAGAGGGAGGAAAGAAAUGAAGACCUCCCUGUAUGUGUGUGUGCUUCUGUGCACUAUCACAUGGAUUUACUACAAGCAAUGGCAUCUGAGGUUAUGGAGGAAGUGAAAUCUGUGGGGGACUCUGAGGCUUUGGGCUGUGGCAGGAAAGCAGGAAGUCUUCUUUGGUGCCAGAUCUCUUUGGACGUUUGCGGUGGGGAGGAAUGUGACUGUUCUUCCUCCGCAAGUGAGGGUAACAAAUGUGACCAUGAUGAUGGCAUAGCAACUCUGUUGCUUGCCAGUCAGCUCACGGUCCCUUGUAAGGCAGAUUACCUCUAAAGAGCUGCCAAAUUUCCUUUCGCUGGGCGCAUCAAUACAACAAACGCCAGAGAACCCUGUGCCACCUUCAUUUACUGUCUGCAUUGGGACUACUUGCUUUAUCUCCCUCCAGCAGCGAGUCCUCCCUCCUCUGUUCCUAUAUUUGAUGCGAUCAGCCUUAUGUUCCAUGGUCGUAUUUUUUCAAAGGGAGAGAGGGUGGAUCUCUACAUCGUGCGAUUCUCAGGAGGGAUUGUGGUUGCUCUCAUUUAGGGAGUGCCCUUUGUGCUGGGCUGUGGCUUGCAAAUGUGUGCAUUAUAAGGUGCCCGGAACUUGGAUGGGUAUAGUGAAUAUUAAAUGUAAAGAGUCUAGGUAUAUACUGGGCCUUGAUCAAUAUUUAUGGAAUUCAAAAUGUUUAAAUACUUAACUAUUUGCUUUUCUUUGUUAUUAUUAGUAUUAUUAUUAGUAGUAGUAUUACCACGCCUGGCUAAUUUUUGUAUUUUCAGUAGAGAUGGGGUUUCACCAUGUUGGCCAGGCUGGUCUCGAACUCCUGACCUCGUGAUCCACCUGCUUCAGCCUCCAAAAGUGCUGGGAUUACAGGCUUGAGCCACCAUGCCCCGCCUCUUUGUUCUUAAUUCUGUUUUCAUUUGUUCUCUAGCCAAGACCCCAAGUCUAUAAUGAUCAAGAGGGUUGUUUUAUUUUUGACAAGUGGAAACCCACAUGUUUCUGAAAAGUGGAGUGGUGGUGGUGGUGGUGGUGGUAGCAUAAUCUGGAAGACCCCUAAAGAAGGCAGUGCUACCUGCCAUAUUUGACUUGGGGGUCAGAGCGAGAGUCUGAGUUGGAGAGUUGGGAAGCUAGAAAAAUGAAGGACUAAAGUAAGAGAUAUUCCUUAUUUCUCCUUUUCCUUUUCCACAUAUCUUGAGAAAGAGAAAGGUUUUUAGUUCAGCAGAAAAUGGGAGAUGCUGGGGCAGAGAUAAAAAUGCUCCCCAAACAUGGCAGGGACUUCCUUGUAUUUCUCGUUCUCCUUGUAGUUAGGUUGAGCUAAAGGAGAUGCUACUAAUGAAAUUUGAAAUCUUAGGGUCAGACAUGUGGGAAUGCACUGCCUACCCUUCCAUCUUGGCAGUGACACGGGCUCAUUCCCCCCAGUUUCCAGAGCUGUGUCCUUUUCAUUCCUCUUUCCAAAUCCACCUCCACUCAAGCUUUCAAUCUGUGCCUGGGCUCUGGUUUGAAUGAGCCACUGAUAUAUUUGCAGCCACCGGGGAUCUGGAGUGCAGAUGCAAAUGGCAGUGUUCCCUGGUAAGUGUUGGUGACAAUUGGAUCUUUCUCUGAUUUGCAUUCCCAAGGCCUGCAGGUUUUCAGAAAAUCACAUCUUAUAGGCAGUUCUGGGGAGGGGGGAGGUUUAUUUUCAAUGUCAGCUACAAAUGCCGGCCCAUGAUAAUUCUUAGAAUGAAAGACCUCUCAUUUGCAAAGGAGAGGAUAGUUAGAGCCAGAACAAUUCACUUAGCAAAAAUUUGGGCCCAAAAAUAUAUAUAUAGGAGAAGGGAUUGUUGGUGGGUAGAGAGGCCUGGAGAUCAAGAGCAAGAGAUGAGAUAAACACAAGUUUGGAAGCCAUUGGCUUGUGAGGGGACCUGAGCACUUAGAAUAGAGGAGACCCCUCAGGGAGAGCUUGUAUGGAGAGAGAGAAAGGUGCAUCCUGACCCCAUCCUGGGCAUUUCUCUUUGAAACUCAGCCUUGUUAUAAUUCAUUUCUAAUUCUGAUAUCAGCAGUGAGGGUUCAUCUAAUCUAUUCUCAUCACUUCUUGAGCCUCUCAGCUCUCACUGGUCCUGGCUCUUGCCUGGAGAUGAUUUUACUCAAAAUUCUAGUCCAGGAUUUAGAAUUGGUCUAAGUACAGAUGUGCAUCAGGAGGCUAUUUCAAAAUCCCAGAUGAGCUCAUACAUAAAGUAAGGAUUAAUUUUUUAUUUUGUGAACCAAUUGUGUAAAAAAAAAAAAAAACAACAAUGCACAUUAGGAAAGUAAUUCAUUUAAUUUCCAUGACCCAGCCCCUCCUGCCUACAAGCCCCCCUCCCCCAUCCCAUGCAAUCCACCUCAUAGGUAAAAACAUAUUCUGGGCAAACUGACUCAUUUCAUGUCACAUUUAUCCCACUCAAGUUUGUCCCUCCUGCUUUGAGCCUGGAUUCCACGUAAAGGUGGAAGGUGAUUUGGGCUGGUCUCCAGGCAGUCACCACCUGCAACCUAUUUUCUUCUCAUCACGACACCUACGUUCAGUGUCACCUUUUCUUCUCCCUUGGGCUGCCCCUUUCUUGCUCACUCCCAUGUUCCAAUGCCAGCAGCUCUGUCUUUGUGCUCAGCCAUGCUUGUUGUUCAGCAGCAUUCCUCAUUAGAAUCCCAUUAUUUGAUGGUCAGAGUAGGGUCUCCAUGGUGAUACAGGCACAAGUGUAGCCAGUAUUCUGCCACCGCAUCUUACCUACUUGGCAGGCAAGCUAGAGUUGGCCUAAAUUCUGCUUUUAUCAUUUAUGUGUUUGUUCUUAUGCUUUUAGGAAAAAAAAAUCCUGAAAUAAUGGUGAAGGACAGCAAGUAUUUGCCUAGAGUGCAUGCUAAGAAGUCUCCAUAGAUGUUUUUCUUUAAGUAUCCUGACCGCUUAACAUAUUGAUGAAGACCUCUUAUUUCCAGGUCAACAAUCAGCUGUUACCAACUUAAGCUUUCUAAACAUUUUCUGUGAAACAAAUUUUUGCCAGUAAGAAAAGGAAAUUGGGAGCUGCCACUGCUUAAUUAAUUUGAAGCUUUGAUAAGCUUUGCCAGAGAGUCGCAUAAUAGAAUUAGCAAGUUUCUUAACAGGCUAAUGUCAGAUUCCACACCCACAUACCUAAAAGAGGAGCCAGCCUGUCAAGGUGGCCCAGUUACAAAAGAGAGCUUCCAAUCAGCCUUUCCAUUCAGGAGACCGUUCUACUGGAGAAUGAUACCUGCUUACCCAAAACAGCCUUUCCUUUUCCUUCAUGAAUUACUAAUCAAGGAUGAUCAGAAAUAGGAACAAAAUCCACAGCCUGAAAGAGAAAGACCAAGCUAAACACCAAGAGUGAAUUACCCCUGAAGAAAUAAAGAUCAAAGAAGACAAAAAAUUUAAGCUUGUGUCCUUAGAGGAGGCACAGAAGAUAUUGCCUCCAUAAAAUAAGAGAAGGAUGCUAUUAAAAAUAAACAAUUAAGAAAUGA